rnacentral:misc_RNA from 1 species
GAUGAAGAACGCAGCGAAAUGCGAUACGUAGUGUGAAUUGCAGAAUUCAGUGAAUCAUCGAAUCUUUGAACGCACAUUGCGCCCGCCAGUAUUCUGGCGGGCAUGCCUGUUCGAGCGUCAUUUCAACCCUCAAGACCCCUUCGGGGGACUUGGUGUUGGGGACCGGCACAGGGGCCUGCCUGCUUGUCUUGCAGCGCCCUCGCCGCCCCCGAAAUGAAUUGGCGGCCUCGUCGCGGCCUCCCCUGCGUAGUAGCACAAACCUCGCAACGGGAACGUGACGGCGGCCACUGCCGUAAAACAACCCAAUUUUAUUAGAGUUGACCUCGAAUCAGGUAGGAAUACCCGCUGAACUUAAGCAUAUCAAUAAGCGGAGGA